CACCACCCUCUGGAGAGCACUGAGGUUGUGGAUGCUGCAAUUGCUGUACCAGCCCUGUCGAUGUGGGUGGGAGCGUGUUCUCUCUGCUGUCUCCUGAAGUCCAGAGUCAGCUCCUUCACUUUGUUGACUUUGAGGGAGAGGUUAUUUUCCUGGCACCACUCCGCCAGGCCCUGAUCGACAUUGGAGGAACAAUGGUGGACAUCUUGAAGCAAGUGGGGACAACAGACUGUGAUAGAAAGAGAUUAAUUAUGUUCGUAAACACUCCAGUCAGUUGGUCUGCACAUACUCUGAGGACGCAGCUUGGGACGCCGUCUUGGUCGGAGGGUUAACACACUUAAAUAUCAGUGGAGGCAGCUGAACGGAGGACAGCUCAUAAUAAUGGCUGGAACGGAGCGAAUGGAAAGGCAUCACAUCAAACACAUGGAAACCAUUCCGCUCCACCAUUACCACGGGUCCAUCCACCUCAAUUAAGGUGCCAUCAAACUCCUGUGGCGAAGAAGAAUUUUAGCUUGCCUGGGAGCAAGAUCAAUAAAAUCAGAUCAACAUCUGAGCAAUAACAUUGCUAAAUACGUGUAUGUUACCAAUAACAUCCAACAUUUGAUUGGAUUUUAUUUGAGAUAUCGGUGGCUGGCUUUCUGAAUCCCUUCUGUGACUGUCUGGAAUGUGGCAAAUGGUGGAAAAGGCCUCAACCAAGAUUUUAGACCAUGUUAGUUGAAAACUAUUAAAAAAAAUAGUUUGCUGUUAUUAAAAGAGACAAAUUCUUGUCUCCUAUUAUUUAAAAAGAUCUCUCAUGGUUGAAAUUCUCCAAAUCAUAUCUCCUAUCAG
ensembl:lncRNA